rnacentral:rRNA from 14 species
CAAGUCCGCAUGGCCCUUAUGAAUUGGGCUACACACGUGCUACAAUGGUGGUGACAAUGGGUUAAUCCCAAAAAGCCAUCUCAGUUCGGAUUGGGGUCUGCAACUCGACCCCAUGAAGUCGGAAUCGCUAGUAAUCGCGUAACAGCAUGACGCGGUGAAUACGUUCCCGGGCCUUGUACACACCGCCCGUCACACCAUGGGAGUUGGGUCUACCCGACGACGGUGCGCUAACCUCGCAAGAGGAGGCAGCCGGCCACGGUAGGCUCAGCGACUGGGGUCAAGUCGAAACAAGGUAGCCG